UGGCAUUUGUGCGAAUUCUGCUGCGGGGUGGGGGGCGGGACAUCACAUCUGGAUACUCAGAAACAGCCUCGAUGUCUUGCGGGAUUGUGUAAGCGGGCGGCCGUGUGGCGAGCAGUACGGGCCUGCGCCGGGACAGAGCCGUGUCCCACCGUACCCGCCGUCGCCUGACCUCAGCAUGUCGGUGGGGCCGCGCCGCCGGUCGAUGUUUUGACCUCGGCGGUCAUGGGCCGCCGGCCGCCGCUGCUCAUCUCACCGGCCCGAUCGACCGGCUGCCUGGCCGGCCGGACAUGUGAGGCCCCGGCCGUUGGCCAGAGACCCCGCGUGCUUCCAGCCCGUCAGCCAGCGGCGCUGCCUGGCGUCGCCCGCUCCAGUUCGGCCGCUGAUAGCCGGCGUCGAUAAGCGGAGUACGCGGCCGUGCGUCGCCGCGUGCUGCCACAGUCGGCCGGUCGGCCGCCCGAGCGCCCAUGUACGGCUCGCUGGUGGUGCCGCGCGGCCGCGGCCGCCUGCUGCGCUACUUCCUCUGCUGCGUGAUCGCCCUGCUCUUCCUGCAGUGCUUCCUCAGUCUGCUGGCGGCGCGGCGCGCGCUGCCCGCCUCGUUCUUCCAGUUUGAUUCGUCAGCGGCCGCCACGCCGC